rnacentral:rRNA from 1 species
UGGCGGACGGGUGAGUAAUGUCUGGGAAACUGCCUGAUGGAGGGGGAUAACUACUGGAAACGGUAGCUAAUACCGCAUAACGUCGCAAGACCAAAGAGGGGGACCUUCGGGCCUCUUGCCAUCGGAUGUGCCCAGAUGGGAUUAGCUAGUAGGUGGGGUAACGGCUCACCGAGGCGACGAUCCCUAGCUGGUCUGAGAGGAUGACCAGCCACACUGGAACUGAGACACGGUCCAG